rnacentral:rRNA from 1 species
GAUGAACGCUGGCGGCGUGCCUAAUACAUGCAAGUCGAGCGAACGGACGAGAAGCUUGCUUCUCUGAUGUUAGCGGCGGACGGGUGAGUAACACGUGGAUAACCUACCUAUAAGACUGGGAUAACUUCGGGAAACCGGAGCUAAUACCGGAUAAUAUUUUGAACCGCAUGGUUCAAAAGUGAAAGACGGUCUUGCUGUCACUUAUAGAUGGAUCCGCGCUGCAUUAGCUAGUUGGUAAGGUAACGGCUUACCAAGGCACCGAUGCAUAGCCGACCUGAGAGGGGGAUCGGCCACACGGAAACUGAGACACGGUCCAGACUCCUACGGGAGGCAGCAGUGGGGAAUCUUCCGCAAUGGGCGAAAGCCUGACGGGGCAACGCGGCGUGAGUGAUGAAGGUCUUCGGAUCGUAAAACUCUGUUAUUAGGAAAGAACAUAUGUGUAAGUAACUGUGCACAUCUUGACGGUACCUAAGCAGAAGGCCACGGCUAACUACGU